GACAGAGGGUGCAAACGUUGCUCGGAAUCACUGGGCGUAAAGGGCGUGUAGGCGGGAAUGUAAGUCGGGCGUGAAAUCCCUAGGCUCAACCUAGGAACUGCACUCGAAACUGCGUUUCUUGAGUGCCGGAGAGGAAAGCGGAAUCCUGGUGUAGCGGUGAAAUGCGCAGAUAUCAGGAGGAACACCGGUGGCGAAGGCGGAUCUCUGGGCCAUUACUGACGCUGAGGAGCGAAAGCGUGGGGAGCGAACAGG
rnacentral:rRNA from 1 species